UACGGAGGAUCCAAGCGUUAUCCGGAUUUAUUGGGUUUAAAGGGUGCGUAGGCGGCCUGUUAAGUCAGGGGUGAAAGACGGUAGCUCAACUAUCGCAGUGCCUUUGAUACUGACGGGCUUGAAUGAACUAGAGGUAGGCGGAAUGUGACAAGUAGCGGUGAAAUGCAUAGAUAUGUCACAGAACACCGAUUGCGAAGGCAGGCUUACUAUGGUUUUAUUGACGCUGAGGCACGAAAGCGUGGGGAUCAAACAGG
rnacentral:rRNA from 1 species